UAUACCGAAUCGUACCCCAAACCGACACAGGUGGUCAGGUAGAGAAUACUAAGGCGCUUGAGAGAACUCGGGUGAAGGAACUAGGCAAAAUCGUACCGUAACUUCGGGAGAAGGUACGCUCCUAUCUGUGAUGAGACUUGCUCUCUAAGCGGACGGGAGCCGCAGUGACCAGGUGGCUGGGACUGUUUAUUAAAAACACAGCACUGUGCAAAAUCGCAAGAUGACGUAUACGGUGUGACACCUGCCCGGUGCCGGAAGGUUAAUUGAUGGGGUUAGUUUUCGGACGAAGCUCUUGAUCGAAGCCCCGGUAAACGGCGGCCGUAACUAUAACGGUCCUAAGGUAGCGAAAUUCCUUGUCGGGUAAGUUCCGACCUGCACGAAUGGUGUAACCAUGGCCACGCUGUCUCCACCCGAGACUCAGUGAAAUUGAAAUCGCAGUGAAGAUGCUGUGUACCCGCGGCUAGACGGAAAGACCCCGUGAACCUUUACUACAGCUUGGCACUGAACAUUGAACCUACAUGUGUAGGAUAGGUGGGAGACUUUGAAGCAGCGACGCUAGUUGUUGUGGAGUCGUCCUUGAAAUACCACCCUUGUAGUUUUGAUGUUCUAACGUUGGCCCCUGAAUCGGGGUUACGGACAGUGCCUGGUGGGUAGUUUGACUGGGGCGGUCUCCUCCCAAAGAGUAACGGAGGAGCACGAAGGUUGGCUAAGUACGGUCGGACAUCGUACGGUUAGUGUAAUGGUAGAAGCCAGCUUAACUGCGAGACAGACACGUCGAGCAGGUACGAAAGUAGGUCAUAGUGAUCCGGUGGUUCUGAAUGGAAGGGCCAUCGCUCAACGGAUAAAAGGUACUCCGGGGAUAACAGGCUGAUACCGCCCAAGAGUUCAUAUCGACGGCGGUGUUUGGCACCUCGAUGUCGGCUCAUCACAUCCUGGGGCUGAAGUCGGUCCCAAGGGUAUGGCUGUUCGCCAUUUAAAGUGGUACGCGAGCUGGGUUUAGAACGUCGUGAGACAGUUCGGUCCCUAUCUGCCGUGGGCGUUUGAGAAUUGAGAGGGGUUGCUCCUAGUACGAGAGGACCGGAGUGAACGAACCGCUGGUGUUCGGGUUGUCAUGCCAAUGGCAUUGCCCGGUAGCUACGUUCGGAACUGAUAAGCGCUGAAAGCAUCUAAGCGCGAAGCAGGCCUCGAGAUGAUUUCUCACUAGACUUUUAAAGUCUCUGAAGGGCCGUUGAAGACUACAACGUUGAUAGGCAAGAUGUGGAAGUGGUGUGAGCCAUUAAGCUAACUUGUACUAAUUACCCGUGAGGCUUAACC
rnacentral:rRNA from 1 species